rnacentral:rRNA from 1 species
UUACAUCAGCAGUCAUCUAUGCGGUGAAGUGUGGUUGGCACCGCCUGCCAGGUGCUCACUUGGACAUCCACCAAAACCUAGUGGCUAAUACACGGACGUCAAGGUCUGCCAUGGUGACAUUUGCUGGCAACUCUGCCGACACUGUGUGUGGUGGAUUGCGCCCAGCCGCUGUGAAGACCAGCGCCUGGAAAUGGCAGUGUUCCCUUGGUUGACUCAGGCUGGUCCUACUGGACAGUUGCACUGGCAGAGUGGUGGCCUCUGGCCACACAUCACUUGCUUGGCCGCAAGAACUUCUGACCUAUCAGCUUUGACUGUGGUGUAGUGGACCACAGUGGCAGCUACGGGUAACGGAGAAUCAGGGUUCGAUUCCGGAGAGGGAGCCUGAGAGAUGGCUACCACUACCAAGGUGGGCAGCAGGCGCGCAAAUUGCCCAAUACUGACACAUGUGGUGAGGCAGCAACGAACUGCAGCAAUUCCACCUGUCCUUUGAGACCAGUGGAACUUGGAAUGGAUGCUAUCCAAACACAGUGAUGAGAAUCAACUGGAGGGCAAGUCUGGUGCCAGCAGCUGGCGGUAAUUCCAGCUCCAAGUGCGUAUACUGACAUUGCUGCUGUUAAAACACUUGUAGUCAGCCACUGGGUGCAGGUCUGACAGGUGGCUGGCAGGUGCUUGUGGCUCAACUGGCUUCUGGCUGGGUGGGCUGCCUGUGCCUGCUGGAACUCAACCCCUGGCAGUAUGUCCUGCACCCGCAUUCAAGAUGGUGAAUUGCUCUUGCUCCAAGCCUCCUUCAGUGGAGGCCAAGGCGGCUUCACGUCAGAUGCAUGUGAGGGUGCUUUGGGGUCAGCUCCCUGUGAGUGACACCCCUGCCCACCACCAGAGCUCAUCAUCUCUGCCACCGUGGAAAACUCAGUGUGCUCAAAGCAUCCAUCUCUCGGCUGGAUGUCUAUCCAUGGAAUGUCAAAGCAUCGACCAAGUGGGCCUCACAGUUGUGCUGGCCUUGGUGCUCACUCUGGAGAAUGUGGCUCAGCCUCCUGCCUGGUUCCUGCGUGUUGUUCCAAGGCGAAAGGGCCAGUGCUUGUGGGCUUUGCCUGUCGUGCCUGAUGGGAUUGCUCAGGGUGGAAGAUAUUGCAACGCCAGAGGUGAAAUUCUUAGACCGCUGCAAGAUCAACUGCAGCGAAGGCGUUCUGCAAGUGCCUGUCCGUCGAUCAAGAAUGAAAGUGUGGGGAGCAAAGAUGAUCAGACACCGUCGUAGUCCACAACUGUAAACUAUGCCAGCUUGGUGCUGGUGGAGCAAGUACACGGACUCCAUCGGCGCCAUGCCCCCUGCAACGAGAAAUCCAAGCCUUUGGGUUCAGGGGGAAGUACUGUCGCAAGGCUGAAACUUAAAGGAAUUGACGGAAUGGCACCACAAGGCGUGGAGUAUGCGGCUUAAUUUGACUCAACACGGGGAAUGUUACCAGGUCAGGACGUUGCUUGGAUGGACAGAUUGAGAGCUCUUUCUUGAUCCCUUGGAUGGUGGUGCAUGGCCGCUCCUGAUUGGUGGAGUGAUUUGUCUGGUUGAUUCCGAUAACGAGUGAGACAUCUGCCUCCCAAUAGCCUCAGCCUCGCACUUGUAGGGCAGUUUGGCUGCUUCCAGCCAGCUUGCUGGCCUGGGGGCACCAGUUGCUGCCUGAGAGGAUUGAGCCCAGCUUCUCUGAGGUGCUGCGCACGCCACCAAGUGCCCGCAUGCUAGAGCCAACAGCAGGUCUGUGAUGCUCCCAGAUGUCCUGGGCCGCACGCGCACUACAUUGACACAGUGAACGUGUUUUGCCGCUCACUCCGCUGAGCCCCACCUGGAAGUUGGUGGGAAACCAUGUGAGCCUGUGCUGUACUGGGGAUAGAUGCUUGCAACUGUCUGCCUUGAACGUGGAAUGCCUAGUAUGCGCAGGUCAUCAGCC